rnacentral:ncRNA from 1 species
CAGAGUAAAAUUCCAAGCGUGUGCCAAACGGCACGAAGUGUCUGCCGAACGGGGAGUUGUCGGCGGAACGAAAGAGAAAUCUGCGGUUUGGGGUUUGCAUCCCGCUGU